rnacentral:rRNA from 1 species
CAGUAGCCGCGGGAAUACGUAGGGCGCAAGCGUUAUCCGGAAUUAUUGGGCGUAAAGAGCUCGUAGGCGGUUUGUCGCGUCUGCCGUGAAAGUCCGGGGCUCAACCCCGGAUCUGCGGUGGGUACGGGCAGACUAGAGUGAUGUAGGGGAGACUGGAAUUCCUGGUGUAGCGGUGAAAUGCGCAGAUAUCAGGAGGAACACCGAUGGCGAAGGCAGGUCUCUGGGCAUUAACUGACGCUGAGGAGCGAAAGCAUGGGGAGCAAAUGGGAUUAGAUACCCGAGUAGUCCCUGUCUCUUAUAC